GACGAACGCUGGCGGCGUGCUUAACACAUGCAAGUCGAACGGGAGUAUUGAAGAAGCUUGCUUUAGAGAUACUUUAGUGGCGGACGGGUGAGUAACGCGUGAGGAGCUGUCCUAUGCAGGGGGACAACAGUUGGAAACGACUGCUAAUACCCCAUAAGCCGAGAGGUAAAAGGAAUUAUCCGGCAGAGGAGGUACUCGCGUCCUAUCAGCUAGUAGGUGAGGUAACGGCUCACCUAGGCGAAGACGGGUAGCCGGCCUGAGAGGGCGAACGGCCGCACUGGAACUGAGAUACGGUCCAGACUCCUACGGGAGGCAGCAGUGGGGAAUAUUGGGCAAUGGGGGCAACCCUGACCCAGCGACGCCGCGUGGGUGAAGAAAUCCCUCGGGAUGUAAAGCCCUGUUGUAUGGGAAGAGCAGAAGACGGUACCAUACGAGGAAGCCCCGGCAAACUACGUGCCAGCAGCCGCAGUAAAAC
rnacentral:rRNA from 1 species